rnacentral:rRNA from 1 species
AUUGAACGCUGGCGGCAGGCCUAACACAUGCAAGUCGAGCGGAUGAAGGGAGCUUGCUCCUGGAUUCAGCGGCGGACGGGUGAGUAAUGCCUAGGAAUCUGCCUGGUAGUGGGGGAUAACGUCCGGAAACGGGCGCUAAUACCGCACACGUCCUGAGGGAGAAAGUGGGGGAUCUUCGGACCUCACGCUAUCAGAUGAGCCUAGGUCGGAUUAGCUAGUUGGUGGGGUAAAGGCCUACCAAGGCGACGAUCCGUAACUGGUCUGAGAGGAUGAUCAGUCACACUGGAACUGAGACACGGUCCAGACUCCUACGGGAGGCAGCAGUGGGGAAUAUUGGACAAUGGGCGAAAGCCUGAUCCAGCCAUGCCGCGUGGGUGAAGAAGGUCUUCGGAUUGUAAAGCACUUUAAGUUGGGAGGAAGAGCAGUAAGUUAAUACCUUGCUGUUUUGACGUUACCAACAGAAUAAGCAACGGCUAACUUCGUG